rnacentral:rRNA from 1 species
GACGAACGCUGGCGGCGUGCUUAACACAUGCAAGUCGAACGGAAAGGCCUGCUUUUCCUUGUGGAUUGCGGGUACUCGAGUGGCGAACGGGUGAGUAACACGUGAGUGAUCUGUCCCCAACUUGGGUAUAAGCCUGGGAAACUGGGUCUAAUUCCCGAUAGGACUGCAGGGUGGUGCCUGUGGUGGAAAACGAUUUUCUAGUGGUUGGGGAUGAGCUGGCGGCUUAUCAGCUUGUUGGUGGGGUAAUGGCCUACCAAGGCGGGGACGGGUAGCCGGGCGGGGAGGGUGGACGGGCGAAGUGGGACUGAGAUACGGCCCAGACGCCAAGGGGAGGCAGCAGAGGGGAGGAAGGCGCGGUGAACGGAACCCAGAUGCAGCGACGCCGCGUGGGGGAUGACGGGUGUCGGGUUGUAAACUCCUUUCGACCGCGAGGUAGCCACCUGGAUGGAGGGGUGGUGACGGUAGUGGUAGAAGAAGCACCGGCUAACUACGUG